rnacentral:lncRNA from 1 species
GUUCUCAGUUCUGGUCCCACCACCACCCUUUAGCCUUCAGUCCUAUGUCACCAUCAUGGAAGAUUUCAAACUAACAGUCCAGAGCUUCAGUUUACAGAAGUGGCUGCCAACCCUGGCUGCAUAUUUGCAUCACUUACAGAGCUUCCAAAAAAUAUCCCAGUGCCUCUCCCCCUCCCACCAGACUAAUUGGAUCAGAAUUGCUAGAGUUCAGGAUUUUGAGUUUAGAAACUCCCUCGGUGAUUCUAAGGGGCAGCCAGGUUAAGCAUCUCUGGUAGAAAGGAUACACAUUGAAUUGCAGAGUUGGAAGGAUUUUAGCCUUCAAGCAAUGAAGAUUUUACAGCUUCCCAGUAUGGUUCAGGUGUCUACAGUGUUCUGGUCAGCCAUGUCCAGAAGAGUAGGUACCAUCUAGUGUGGACUUGGCUGCUGGGACCCCAGCCUUACCUUGUGAUCUGGGGGCAGUGCCUAGUAAAGGAAACCACUAUGAGCUGGAUAAAACAUUCCAGAGGUGUCAAUAUAGUAUUUUUUUUUUUCCAAAAAGGAAUGCCAUUGGUGGAGAAAAAAGGGACAUUAGUAGGUCUCAGGUCCUGUACUUCUCAUGAAUGAAACUUAACAGCCCCUCUAAAAUAAUUCGCUGUUCUUUGUGAAGAGAACAGUGCAUUUUGGAGAAGAAAGAAAUGAUGAAAAAUAGGGCAAAAGAAAGGUAGGUGAAGGGCUUUGAGGGCCUUGAGGAAGUAUUGGAACCUGUUUAAAAACAAAAUGUUUGGAGCCCACGUUGCCAAAAGAGCAGACGGCAGGGAAACCUACCCACUUAUCCUGACCAACACCAUAAACAGCAAGGGGAAGAAAGCCCUGGGCUUGUUUGAACAGCUGGAAUAAGGAGUAGUGUCGUCCACUUGAUCUGUCUGGCUGUGCCCCUUCAAAGAGCAAUUGAACCCCUAGCAAUUGAAUCAGAGAAUGCCUGGACCUCAAGGGGCCUUAGAGCUUGUCGACUCCACUCACCUUCCCAACAGGGAAACUGAGACCCUGAGAGGGGAAGGGUCUCAUUGAAUGUCUCAGCUAGUUAGGCCUGGCAGGCCUAGCAAUGUCCCCUGCCUUUGGAGACACUGAAUGUUCUAAUUAGAAAUAGAACUUACCAGAAAGAGCCCCAGUGGAUUCCUGCAGCCUCCCCUGUGGCCAAGUGGACCCUACACCUCCCCUUUGAAGACAGAAGGACAUCCUCUUCCACACUGCUAUUCGUACCUCCCAUAGGGUCAACUCUAAGUCUCAUCAUAAGGUAACCACUGAACAAACAGAUGGAUUUCACUUUUGAAGAACGUAUCACACUUCCAGUGAAACUUACACGGAAAAGUUUCUCGAAUUCUUCUAUCCGGCAGUGUGGCUAUUUACUAUAUCAUCAUGUAUAUGAUGUUGUAUUUGACUUCUUUUUUCAUAUUUUCUUUUAUUAUUUCCCUCCCCAUUUUAAAAACAGUAAACCACAUCAUUUCAGACCAGUGGGACUAGAGUCACUGGACCAGACUAAGACUCACUAGACUAGACUAGUCUCACGCAGAGUAGUGACCGUGAUGAGAUUGUGACCAUGUUUUUGAAGAAGACUGUCUUCAAUAUUUGAAAGUAUGCUCUGUAAACUUAAGCAGGAGACUCAGUUUUUAGAAGGCUUGUAAGGUCUUGUUAAGUUACAUGCAUUUAAGAAAUGUUUUUAAGUGCCUGCUAGAGGUUGCUGUGAUUGUUGUUGUAAUUACAGAGAUAAAAACAGUUCAUCUCUCCCUUAAGUUUACAGUAGAAUGGAGGUAGAGUAAUUAAGACCAUAGUUGUAGGAUACUAGAGACUCUCAAAUGGUUGAUAAGAUGGAUCGAUUCCAUGUAUCUUAAACAUUUUCCAAUCUUCUGCCUCAGAAUUUUCCUCCUGCCCUUAACAUCCUCAGCAAACCCUUUCACAAUAGAAAGUACAGAGAGCAAGAUCAGCCCAGGUCCAGUGCAAGGGAUGGCAAACUCUGCCUCAGUGGGGCUGAUUCGAUGAGGUGUUCUGUGCACACAUCAACCCCUCCACAGACCACAUGCCCUUUAAAUGACAAAUCAGAUGCAUAUAUUUGUUGAUCUGAUAAAGGCAAUAUAUCUCAGUGUCCUGACCUCUGCCAAAGACAUGAGGGUGUGUCUCCCUUUGGCCCCAUUGUUAAAUCACCUCUAGCCUUGAAGUCCCAGCUGGUCCCCAGGCGGUGGGAGAAGGGGCUCCUAUUAUCUUGGCUUUGCUGAUAUGCCAAGCUAAUGGCACGAAGCUCUCUUGGCUGUCCAGAAUGGAAGAAACAGAACACCAAUUUAAAUCAUGAAAAAAAGUCAGUGAAUCUAUCAUCAUUAAUCUUGCUGUCAGUUUUAAUUUUGGGGACAUUACCUCACUCAACACCAGCUGAAAAGAGCUGCCAAACCCGAUGAUGUCAUCAUCACUAGCUGUGUCUGACCCUGCCUGCUGAUUCUCAGAGCUUGGAGCAAGUUAAUAAAUCCCCUGGCACUUGGACACACAGUGGAGUUUUAUUACAAUGAAGGUAUAACCCAUGAUGUUGUUUCAAUUAAAUGGCCUGAGAAAAUACUUUCUUGUGUUUAGCAAAACUGUAAAACAUAAUUAUCCUCAUGCAGUUGGGCCUGUUCAUUGUGCUGACGUGAUGAUUAUAUAUUCCCCCCUCCCCCAACACACACACACACACACACACACACACACACACACACACACACACACACACACACACCUGCCCACACCCAUAAACAAUCUCAGAGAGGGGUGGAAGGAUGACUCUGAAGACAGGUGAAUAUUCCCCACAUGUGUCUUUUCGAAGUCAUCACCUAGAGACCUGGCUGGUGUCUGCAUAACUGCAGAACCACACUGAAGCAUCCAGGAAAAGCAAAACAUUGAGAGAGGUCUGGGGCUUGGCCUUGGCAAUCUCAGGGCAGAAUGUUGACUCUCUAAAAAAGGGGCUGAUCCACCAAGAAAAACCUGGAGGCCAACAGCUGCUCAUGCAAAACUCAAACCUCAUUGCUCUUCACCUAUUUAUGAAUAAUUUCCUUUGAUGUGUUUUCGAACUCUUAAGGACAUGAGUUUGUACUGGUUUUUACUCAUGGCCCAUCUGAAGUCUCUUGGCCUGACCCUCCUGUGAAGUCAUCCUGCUGAAUGGGCGCCAUUGUGUCAGGGCUGUGGCUGUAGUGUCAGCACCUGGGCGGUCAACACAGGCUUGAUGGAUCCCUGCCGUUUCAGUGGGAGGCGGGCCGGCAGUAAGGUGAGAAGGCUCCAUCCUUUUAGCCCGGCAACAUAGCGAGUUUAGAGGGCAUACCACACUUGUGCGUGGAAUAGAUGAGCAAGGUUUUCAAGCAGUCCUUUGGGAUGAUUAUCUACUGUCUGCACCGUGUAGAGGAUUUAGGUGUGCGUGACUACAGGAACGUAUACGUGGACACACACACACACCUUAAAGUUUUUAAGCAUAAUGAAAAUUGGUUGGCAUCAGAAGCCUGGCUCAAGUCCCCUUGACUCCUUUCCUUCUGACUUAUUCCAAGUGAUUCCUCCUAAAUUCCCCUCUCUCCCACCCCAGCAAGCUCCCCUAAAUGGCCCUCAUCAAUCAUGCCCAGUGGUACAGUUGGCUCUGCACAGAGCACAAAUGAGGAUGAGGGGAAGACCCCCAAGCCCAUUUUUCAUGCCUCUCUCACACAGGAACUGAUCCCAGGUCUCCAGGGGUGAGCAAGCAGUACACAAAUUCACUGUCCCUUUUGCCCUCCCAGAUAGAGGCCCUUGGAGAUUCUUUAUUAUUAUUUUUAAUGGUCUCACGUACAGUAUAUCCAUUUGCAAGAUACAUUGCCUGAUGUAAGAAUCUGUAACUGCAUCCUGUUAACAAUUCCUGCUCUUUAUGGAGUAUUGCCUUGACAUACUUGUUAAACCUCAAUAAAUACGUUUUUAAUAACCAUAUGGUAUUUAACAUAUAAUAACUGACUUAUUAGGUUUAAAUUAAAUUCUUGCUCAUGAUACUGAAUUUAAAGGGUGACCAGUCUUUUCCUGGCUAAGAAGGGAUUUGCAAUAACUAUGGUAAGGACACUUCUUUUUGGAGAGAAGAGGAUGUUUAAGCAUCCUGUGUUUUGAUGGUGUGAUUAAAGCAAAUUGCAUUUUUAAAAAUUCUUAUGUGGGGGAUCCUAGUGAAAAGCCCUCCUGCAGUGGAAUUGUAACCAUGCGGGAAACUGACUCAUUGAAGGGCCACCUCCCAAACGCAGUCACUUCGUGCUUGGGACACUCCAAGAUUAUAAGUUAAGAGAAAAGCUAAGACUUGUCCCUCUUCCUCUUCCUUGUGUCCUUUUCCACUGUGCAUCAUGAAGCUGGUAGACGUGCUGAAAUGGAACAGAAUAGUAAAGAACAAAAAAAUUAGGCCACUUCCUUUAUAGGUGACCCCUCCACACACCCUUUUUAUUGUUGUUAUUGUCACUUCACUCAUUUUGUUCCUUGGUUACUCAGUUUCCUGCCCAGGUGCCUGAAAAAGGGUAUCUAUCCUUUCAUGCUCCAGUACUUUCCUUGACACUUUGAUGGUUUCUAGUGUGGAGGGGGAUGGGACAGAAAGAAGCUGGCUGAGCACCAGCUAGGGAGAUAUAUGCAUGCCGUGGUUGUGUUCAGAUGAUGGAAUUUGCUUGGGCAGGGAGGUGGCCCAGCGUGCUCUGGAGAAGCUGGAGGGAGAAAGUACGUGUAAGUCUCUUGGCCUGGGAAGCACCUUCUGUGAGGGGUUGGGUGAAGCGUGAUGGAGAGAAAGCCCAAAUGAGAGUAGGGAUGAUGGUGGAAGAGAAAGAUUGAGAGAAAAGCUGGCUAUUGGAGGAGUCUAAGAAGAGUGAACUGACUUCACAACAGGCUUUGUGAAGCAGGUGGCGCUUGAGCUGAGCCUCUAAAGUCUUAAUAAGAACAGGAAGCCCUGGGGAAAGCUGAGGCAACUUUAGACAGUGAUUCUCUGGUCCCUGACCACGGAUUUGGCAUCACUGAGGAACUCGUUACAAAUCACAUUCCUGGGCCCCACCCUAGAUCAGAACCAGAAGCUCAGCACUUGGAGUUCUUGAAGUCACUUAAGUGACAGGCACAUGACACCCUUUGCCAUAUGCUGCUCUAGGCCAGACUUUCUCAACCUCAGCACUGAUGACAUUUGAGAAGAAUCAUUUGUUGUUGUGUGGCCUAUCCUGUGCAUGGUAGGGUAUUGAGCAACCUCUCUGGGCUCUAUCUACCCCUCCAUGCUUGUAGCACCUCUACCUGUCCCCAACUGUGAAAACUGGAAAUGUCUCCAAACAUUGCCAGGUAUCCCCAGUGAGCAAAAUCUCUCCAUCUGGUUGAGAAUCACCCCUCUAGAAGGAAGAAUAGCACAAUAAAAAAUUAUGGUGGUAGGACUCUCACGGCAUGUUCAAGAAAUAAUGAGCGGUCGAGCAUGGAGCACAUUCUAGGUAUGAGUAGAGGACUGUUGGAAAAUAAGCUACAAAGGGAGGCAAGGGCCUAAGUUUGGACACCAAAUGUGUUUGGAUGUAAUUCAGAGGGUACUAUGGAGUCACUGAAAAGUUUAGGAAGAGACAGAACUAAAUCUCUGCUUUGGAAUACAUUAGAUUAGAGCAGUGACUUUCAAAUUAUUAUGACAAAUGUAUUUACAUACUGGCUUAGGGCAUACACAUACACAUUUAAUUAAACUUCUCCAAACAACUAUUAUACUACUUGGAAAGCAGCCUGAUUUUUUCUUAACUCUAUUCUAUGCCAUGCCAUUCCAUUCUACUCUUAAAAUGCUGAUCAUAAUAGUACAAAUGAUUUCAUAACCCACUAAUGGGCAUGAAACACAUUGUCAGUGAAGGAGCAGAGAGAUUGGGAGGGGAAAGAUUCAACAGCCAGGCAAAAGAUCAAGAAAACUUAAUACUAGGGCAGGAAUGGGGCAGAGGAAAGAGCUAACACAGACAUUUCAGAUACAGAGUCUGUAAGGAAAAAGGAACGGUCAGAAAAAAAUACAUGACUUUGGGAGUUCCGGUCGUGGCACAGCGGUUAACGAAUCUGACUAGGAACCAUGAGGUUGCGGGUUUGAUCCCUGCCCUUGCUCAGUGGGUUAACGAUCUGGCGUUGCCGUGAGCUGUGGUGUAGGUUGCAGAUGUAGCUCGGAUCCCGCAUUGCUGUGGCUCUGGCGUAGGCUGGCAGCUACAGCUCUGAUUAGACCCCUAGCCUGGGAACCUCCAUAUGCUGCGGGAGCGGCCUAAGAAAU